rnacentral:rRNA from 1 species
UACGUAGGGUGCAAGCGUUAAUCGGAAUUACUGGGCGUAAAGCGUGCGUAGACGGCUAUCUAAGUCGGGUGUGAAAGCCCCGGGCUCAACCUGGGAAUUGCAUUUGAGACUGCAUAGCUAGGGUGCGGAAGAGGGAAGCGGAAUUUCCGGUGUAGCGGUGAAAUGCGUAGAUAUCGGAAGGAACACCGGUGGCGAAGGCGGCUUCCUGGGCCGAAACCGACGUUCAGGCACGAAAGCGUGGGGAGCAAACAGG